CCCCUGCCAUGGGCAGGGACACCUUCCACCAUCCCAGGUUCCUCCAAGCCCCAAAGUCCAACCUGGCCUUGGGCACUCGCAGGGAUUCCAGCCACAGUUUCUCUGCCAGGGCCUCAGUCUGUGGAGUUUGUUUCUUUUUGUGGUUUAGUUGAGCAGAUUCUGCCCGUUUUGGUGCUGCUGAGACACAAAUGUGUGAUUUUUAAUGUAAAGCACAGAGGCUGUGUCUGAGUGACAAAGGGUGGGCUGUGUCCUCCUGGGGCUGACUUCUCCUUUUGCUUCCCAUCUCUUCCCAGCCAUCCCUCUGCUGCUGGAGCAGCUUUUGUCUGCCUGAAGCAUCACAGAACCCUUUAGGCUGGACAAGCCCUCUGGGAGCAGAGUCCAUCCAUUCCCCCAUCACUGACAAGGCCACCAAUAAUUCCUGUCCCCAAGCACCACAAACAAGAGGGUUUUAAAUCCGCCCAGAGCUGGGUUGAUGAGGAGAAAAGGUCAUUUGGGAAAAUUUUGCCCCAUGUUUCCAGAUCCUGGUCUAGUGGAAGGUGUUGGGUUUUAAGGUCCAUUCCAAGCCAAACCAUCCUGCAGACAUCAGCCCGGACAAGUGAUGCUCACACCCUCUGCACCCCCUCUCCCCACUCCCUGGAAAAGGGUUUUUAGCCAAAUUUCUGAGUGUCAAAACAUUGUGGGGCACAAGGAAGAGUCUCAGCCUCUGCUGGGGGCUGUGGAGUUGAAAACAUAAAUCCCAAACCCUCGGUAGCUGCAUGACAUCUUUAUUUUUACUGGCAAGAGAAGCAGUAUACACAGCGACAUUGCAGUCUCUUAGCUCGUUAAAAAUAUCUCAAUAAAUAAAACAAAUAAGCAACAUAUACACUGGAACAGAAAAUGAAAACAAAAAAGAAAAUUUUUAAAAAAUCAAAAAAGGGGGAAGGGGAUGAGCGGUAGCAAAUGAUGGAGCAAUAAGGGAGAGGUGGCAGAGUGUGGAGGG